CGCUAGUUAUCAUGGAAUGCCCGUAGGUGGUCAACCCCUCUUGUUGCACCGAUGACAUCCUCCAAUCUGAUAGUCUCAUCUCUGGAUGCGCCUCUCAUCCAUCAAUCAUCAUGGAUAUCACCCCUGGGUCAAUUAUCAAGGUGAGGAAAUUUUGUUGGUUUCAGAUCUAGAAUCCUCUCCACAAAUCCAGGGAUUGUCGAGAUUUGUCAUAGAAGUGGCUUAAUUUAGCUGGAUCUAGGUCCGAUCAUAGUCAAGUUAUGAUGUAUCGUAUCAAGGUUUCGAUCUUGAUGUAUGUGAACAUUCGAGCCAUUCAAAGUAAAUAUACGACUAGAUCUGGGUGCAUCCAUACAGAUCUAGCACAUUAUAUGUGUGAUUUUGCGAUAUCGCAGGUACAUAAGGCCGGAUCUGGGAAGAUCCACUCUGACGCGGUCAUCUAGAGGGCAUGAUGCGGCAAUAUAUGGUAGGAAGUUGGCAUCUAAUACGGACACCAUGAAUUAUGCAUUUUCCUUGGCCACAGACAACACCCUUUACUUUUAUGGUGGAGCUAGCAGUUCAAGGGGAUUUCUUAAUCAUCUUCAUAUAUUUUCCGGCCCAUAAACUCCUCAUGACGAGUGAAGUUCCACUAUAAUGCUCUGGUGAGUAUUUUUUGAGUUCAUCCAUUUCUAAUCUUGUUUCCCCUUCCUUUUUUAUUUACAUGUUGUGUUGUCUUGUGUUAAUUAUAUUCAUCUCCUCCCGUCAUGUUAUUGUAUUUUACAUACUAGUUAUCUCUUGUUUUCACUUCAAGGAGUUCAAAUUGGUUAUUUUCAUGUAUAGAUAUCUCUAAGAGGGCCAAUAUUUUGGAAGAUGCUUGAUUUUGAUUUUUGCACAACAUGAGGACGAUGCUUGGUUAGUUUACAAUAGUUUUGCUAGCAAAACUAAUAUAUUGCAAUGCGAAGAGACUACUUAGUAUACAAGAGCCCACAGUAUAUGUAUGUUUUCCUCCUGUCCUCCCCCAAUAAAAUCAACUUACCAUUUUUGCCUUCCCCUACUCCACCCAAGCCUUUUAUAUAACCCCAUUCCCGGUUGUCUUUCCACGAGCGACAUGAAAACAUCUUUGACUUCUCUAGUUAUUGUGCAAUGUCCAUAGGUGCUCAAACUCUCUUAUUGAACCGAUGACAUCCUCCAAUCUCAUAGUAUCAUCUCUGGAUGUGUAUCUCAUCCGCCGUUCUUCAUCGACAUCGCCCCUGUUUCAACUCUCAAGGUGAGUAAAUUUUGUUGGUUUUUAGAUCUGGAAUCUUCUCCACAAAACCAGGUAUUGUCGAGAUUUGUCAUAGAAGUGGCUUAAUUUAGCUUGAUCAGGUCCCAUCAUAGUCAAGUUGUGAUGUAUCAUAUAAAUGUUUGGAUCUUCAUGUAUCUGAAUAUUCCAGCCAUUCUAUCUAAAUAUACGACUAGAUCAGGAUGCAUCCAUACAGAUCUAGGACAUGAUAUGUGUUAUUUUGCGAUAGCGCGGGUAGAUAAGGUCGGAUCUAGGAAGAUCCACUCUAAUGCGAUCAUCUAGAGGGCAUGAUGCGCCAAUAUAUGGUAGGAAGUUGGCAUCUAAUACGGACACCAUGAAUUAUUAAUUUUCCUCUGCCAUAGGCAACAUCGUUUACUUUUAUGGUGGAGCUUGCAGACCAUGGGGAUCUCUUCAUCAUCUUCAUAUAUAUUUUGGCCCACAAACUCUUCACAGCGAGAGAAAUUACACUACAUGCUCUGGCGAGUAUUUCUUCGAGUUUAUCUAUUUAUAAUAUUGUUUCCCCUUCCUUUUUUAUUUACGUGCUCCCCCAUCUUGUUUAAAUUAUAUUCAUAUCCUCUUAUCAUGUCAUAGUAGUUUAUAUACUAAUUCUCUCGCGUUUUCACUUCGAAUAGUUCAAACUGGUUACUUUCAUGUAUAGGUAUCCCUAAGAGGAUCAAUAUUUAGGGGCAUGCUUGAUUUUAAUUUUUGCACAACAUGUGGAUGAUGUUUGGUUAGUACACUAUAUUUUUGCCAGCCAAAUCUUGUGGCCUUGAACAUGAAAUGGUAGUUAAUAUGGUGGGCUAUCCUAAUGAUUGUCGGAACCAUGAAUAGGGAAUGUUAGCUAUUGUGUUGUACAAUACCUCCUGUUGUCAAAGUUGUAGCUUGGGGCCAACAAGGUCACUCAAAAUAGCAUUUUUGUAAGCAUCUAGCCCGUAAAUGUGAAAAUCCCAUUGACACAUCAUCACCUAGGUUGUGGCAAUAAUAGUAUUUUUCAAUUUGUAGCUCUGCGCCUCCGCACAUCUAUGUACGACUACAUGUGAGAAAUAGUCUCACAUUGCUUACAUGGAUAGACUACCAUCAACAUAUAAAGCCAAUGAUUCCAUGGCAACUAACCUGGGUAAAUACUUCACACGAGUUGGAAAAUUAUGUGAACUGUUAAGGUUGCACACUUAGUGACGAACAUAGAGAGGAUUUUGUAUAAGUGAACUUGGAGACAAGACUACUAUACAACAUAUUAAACACAAUAAAUAAAUCUAAUAUAAAACUAUGAAAUUUGUUAUUCAUAACUACAACUAUUAUGUUUCAGUAACUCCUAAAUUUUAAGGGUUAGACUUUACAUUGAUUAAAUACAUAAACAUGAACUUCCUAUUCUAACAUCAAUUAGACGGCACAAGAGAUUACAGUUAUGUGGAACUUUGAUUCGCUAUAGCAAUUUGAAUGGUAAAAUUUGCUGGAAUAUAAUAUGGUGUUGAUUACCAACCAAAAAUUCCUAGUGCGACGUUAGUAGUAGAGACAACUAUUGCCAAUGGAAAUAUUGCACAAAUGUCUGGGAAAAAUAAUAUACAUAUCUCUCUCCAACGCGAAGAGACUACUUAAUCUACAAUGACCCACAAUAUAUAUUUUUUUCUCCUCUUGUCCCACAAGCAAAGCAUAUUACAAUUUAUUACUUCCCCUCCCCCUCCAAAGCCUUUUAUAUUACCCCAUUCCACAUUCUCUUUUCAUGACCAAUAUAAAAAACAUCUCCGACGUCUCUACCUGUCAUGCAAUGCCCAAUAGGUGCUCAACCCCUCUUCUUGCACUAAUGGCAUCCUCCAAUCUCAUAAUCUCAUCUCUGUAUGCGCCUAUCAUCCAUCAUUCUUCAUCGAUAUGACCUCUGUGUCAACUCUCGAGCUGAGUAAAUUUUCUUGGUUUUGAUAUCUAGAAUCCACUCCACAAAAGUAGGGAUUGUUGAGAUUUGCCGUACAAGUGGUUUAAUCUAGCUGAAUCUAGGUCCAAUCAUAGUCAAGUUAUGAUGUAUCAUAUCAACAUUUGGAUCUUGACAUAUGUGAACAUUCCAGCCAUUCAAAGUAAAUAUAUGACUGGAUUUGAAUGCAUCCAUAUAGAUCUAGCACAUGAUAUAUGUGAUUUUGCGAUAUCGCAGGUACAUAUGGUCAGAUCUAGGUAGAUCCACUCCGAUGCAGUCAUCUAGAGGGCAUGAUGCAUCACUAUAUUGGUAGGAAGUUGGCAUCUAAUACUAACACCAUGAAUUAUGCAUUUUCCUCGGCCAUAGGCAACACCUUUACAUUUAUGGUGGAGCUCGCAGUCCAUGGGGAUAUCUUUGUCAUAUUCAUAUAUUUCAAACUCCUCAUGGGGACAGAAAUUCCACCAUAAUGCACUUGUGAGUAUUUCUUCUACUUUAUCCACCGAUAGUCUUGUUUUCCCCUUCCUUUUUUUAUUCACGUGUUGUGUCACCUUGUUAAAAUUACAUUCUUCUGCUCCCAUCAUGUCACAUUAGUUUAUAUUCUCAUUUUCACUUAAGAGAGUUCAUAUUUGUUUUUUUCAUGUAUAAAUAUUUCUAAGAGGAGCAAUAUUUAGGAAGAUGCUUAAUUUUGAAUUUGGCACAACAUGAGGAUGAUGCUUUGUUAGUUUAGUAUAGUUUUCCCAGCCAAACCAAUAUCUUGCAACCUUGAACAUGAAAUGGUAACUAGUAUGAUGGGCUAUCCCAAUGCUUGCUACAACCAUGAAUGAGGAAUGGUAGCUAUUAUGUUGGGCCAGCCCUUUUUUCGUCAAAGUUGUAGCUUGGGGCCAACAAGGUCACCCAAAUAGCAUUUCUUAAGCAUUUGUCCCAUAAAUGUGAAAAUCCCAUAGACACAUAAUCGCUUGGAGUCGUACCAACACUAGGAUUUUCCCAUUCGUAGUACAUGUGAGAAAAUACUCUCAUUGCUUACAUGAUAGAUUAUCACCAAUAUAUAAAACUACGGAUUCCAAGGCAACUAACCGGGCUAAAUAUUUCACACAAGUUGGAAAAAUAUGCGAGGGGUUAUGGUUGCACACUUAGUGUCGAACAUAGAGAGGAUUUUGUAUAAGUGGACUAGGAAUCCAGACGACUAUAUGAAGUGUUGGAAACAAUAAAUAAAUGUAUCAAAUAUACAACUAUGAAUUUGUUUAUUCAUAAAUACAACUAUGAGGUUUCAAUAACUCCUAACUUUUAAGGGUUAGAUUUUACAUUGAUUAAAUUCAUAAACAUGAACUUCAUAUUCAUAACAUCAAUUGCCCAACACAAGAGAUUAUAGUGAUGUUUAACUUUGACUCGCUAUAGCACGUUGAGCUAUAUAAUUUGCUGGACUGUAAUAUGGGGGUGAUUACCAAUGAAAAAUUCCUAGUGUGAGGUUACUAGUACAAAAAACUAUUGUCAAUGGAAAUACUACACAUAUGGCUGGCAAAAAUAAUACACUUAUCUAUCUCGAACCCAAAGAGACUAGUUAAUAUGCAAUGGCCUACACAAUAUAUUGUUUCCUACUCUCCUCCCCUGAGAAGAUCAUCUUACCAGUUUCGCCUCCCCCCUCCCAGCCCAAGCCUUUUAUAUAACCCUAUUCACGGUUCUCUUUCCAUGAGCGGCAUGAAAAAAAUCUUCGACUUGUCUAGUUAUUGUGCAAUGGCCAUAGGUGCUCAACCCCUUUUGUUUCACUGCCGACAUCCUCCAAUCUCAAAGUGUCAUCUCUAGAUACCCUCUCAUCCAUCAUUUUUCAUUGAUAUCACCCUUGUGUCAACUCUCAAGGUGAGUAAUUUUUUGUUGAUUUCCAGAUCUAGAUUCCUUUCCAUGAAACGAGGGAUUGUCGAGAUUUGUCAUAGAAGUGGCUUAAUCUAGCUGGAUCUAGGUCCCAUCAGAGUCAAGUUCUGAUGUAUUGUAUCAAUGUUUGGAUCUUGACGUAUCCGAACAUUCUAACCAUUCAAAGUAAAUAGACGACUGGAUAUUGAUGCAUCUAUAUAGAUCUAGCACAUGAUAUAUGUUUGUUUUGAGAUAUCGCGGUUGCGUAUGGCUGGAUCUAGGUAUAUCCACUCUAAUGCAGUUAUUUGUAGGGCACGAUGCGUUAAUAUAUGGUUGGGAGUUGGCAUCUGAUACAGACGGCAUGAUUUAUAUGUUUCUCUUGGCCAUAGAUAAAACUGUUUACAUUUACGAUGGAGCUAGCAACCCAUGAGGAUCUUUUGGUCGUCUUCCUAUACUUUCUUAGCCCAUAAACUCCUCACGGCGACGUUAGUAGUUGAGACAACUAUUGUCAAUGGAAAUACUGCACAUAUUUCUGGCAAAAAUAAUACACAUGUUUGUCCAACGUGAAGGGACUCAUUAAUAUAUGAUGCCCCACACUAUAUAUUGUCUCCUCCCUCCCCCAAGCAAAUCAUAUUACCAUUUCUGCCAUCCCCUCCCCACCCAAGCCCUUUAUAACCCUAUUCCCGGUUCUCAUUCCAUGAACGACAUCAAAACAUCUCUAACUUCUCUAGUUAUCGUGCAAUGCCCAUAGGUGCUCAACCCCUCCCGUUGCACCGAUGACAUCCUCCCAUAUCAUCAUAAUCUCUUCUCUGGAUGUGUGUGAUACCACCCCUGUUAUAACUCUCAAGAUGAGUAAAUUUUGUUUAUUUUUAGAUCUAGAAUCCUUUCCAUCAAACUAGGGAUUGUCGAGAUUUGUCGUAGAAGUGGCUUAUUCUACCUGGAUCUAGGUCCCAUCAGAGCCAAGUUAUCAUGUACCGUAUAAAUAUUUGGAUCCUUGACGUAUCAAGUAAAUGAACGACUGGCUCCAGAUGCAUCCAUACUGAUCUAGCACAUGAUAUGUGUUAUUUUGCGAUAUCAUAGGUACAUAUGGUUGGAUAUUGGAAGAUCCACUCCGAUGCGGUCAUCUAGAAGACACGAUGUGUCAAUAUAUGGUAGGAAUUUGGCAUCCAAUACAAACACAAGGAAUUAAGUGUUUUCCUGGGCCACAGACAACACUGUGUAUAUUUAUAGUGGAGCUAGAAGUCCAUGGGGAUCUCUUCAUCAAAAUCAUAUAUUUUCGGCCCAUAAACUCCUCACGGCGAGAGAAAUUCCACUACAAUUCUCCGGUGAGUAUUUCUUUGAGUUUAUCUCUUUAUAAUCUUGUUUUCUUAUUCAUGUGUCUGGUCGCCUUGUUAUAAUUAUAUUCUUUUCCUCUUCCUUUUCUUAUUCACGUGCUUGGUCGUCUUGUUAAAAUUAUAUUUAUCUGCUCCCAUCAUGUCAAAUUAGUUUAUAUUCUAGUUCUUUCUCGUUUGCACUUAAAAGAGUUCAAAUUGGUUAUUUUCAUGUAUAGAUAUCUAUAAUAGGACUAAUAUGUAGGAAGAAGCUUGAUUUUGAUUUCUGCACUAAAUGAGGAUGAUGCUUGGUUAGUUUACAAUAAUUUUGCUAGCCAAACUAAUAUCAUGCAACCAUGAACAUGAAAUGGUAGCUAGUAUGAUGUGUUAUCCCAAUGCUUGCUGCAAUCAUGAAUGGGUAAUGGUAGCUAUUAUCUUGGGAUAACUCAAUGCUUGGCAAUUUAUCUGGGCUAGAUGCCUACAAAUCUCUAGUUGUAUGUCUAGACUGCACAUUAAUAAAAAAAAUUAUUCUAUUGGUCCAUUCCAAGGCCCACAUACUACAGGUCCAUGUUACGCAUGGUCCAAUGCCACUUUUUUAAAACCAGAAUUGUGUACAUGCAAUGCUUGUUAAUAUUAGGCAAGAUAUUAAUUGUAUUGCAUUAAUAUUGGGUUAGAUAUAAACUACACGUAAAUAUUAGGUAGCAUAUAAUUACUUCAUUAAAAUUGACGUUGAGAUUAGGCAUCAUAUUAAUUAGGGGAGGGUGCUAAACAUGUGUAACACCCAACACUCGAGCGACUUUGAUUGUUUCAUAGAUGUUGCUAAGCGAAUGAGAUUUAUUGGAUCUCUGCAACACUUUUGAUUUGUUUAGAUUUGAUUCAUCAUCAUUGAAUGUGCGUUAUGCAUUGCUAGAUGAUCUUAGAAAUCGUCUACAAAUCUCAUGGUUUUAUUGGUGUUUAAUUUGUUUCUAAUUGUAGUGAUAAUUAGGUGGCAUGGAAUUAAUUAUUUCUAUACAAAACAUAAGAUUUUUGGCAAACCAUUUAGGAAAAUUCAAACACUUGUUGGUAACUUGAUGGGUUAGUUUCAUAAACCAAAAGCAUUAAUGAUUGUCAAACUAUAUGUAAUGUAAUCAGUAUAUGGGUGUGUCCCAGCUCAUUGAGACAUGCCCUUCCAUUUCAUUACAUUACGCAAUUAAGAAGGGAACACCAUACAUACUAAAAGAAAGACCAUAUGGAAGGGUGCAACCAUAGCGCCAUAGUGGUAUAAUGUCUUUAAAUUAAUAUAAACAAACAUCAAACUAAAAACAGAUGUAUUUGCACACACUGCCAGCUUGAACAUGUGCCACGUUACACAUCUAUACUACGCUUCAUCAACGUCAAGUUUCUUUGGGUUCAAAAUUAUUCAAAAUGUCGUCCAAAGUAUUACAUAGAACAUCGUCAGCAUUCAAGAUACCAAGGUAAAUCAAAAGCAGUUGUUUGGCUCCAACUAGAUGCUACAAUAACGAUGGAAUACUAAAAAGGAAACACGAUCCCUAGAUAGAGAUCACAAAACAAAUUUUGCCAAGUAACAUUACCAAGAACCCUCUCCAUCUCCUCAGCCCUCGGUGGAGAACUUCAUUGUAUUGAUCUUCAAGUCAUCUUGCCACCGGAGAGAAAGAGUAGUUGUAAACUAGGGGGAUGCCUCCAUGGGGAUUAGAACUCCCAAAGCCAUGUGCGGGUUCAGCGACGGUGGCACCGCCACCACAGGGUCAGUUGGCACCAGUGAAGCCAUUGCCAGCACGAGAGAUGGUGGAUCCUCCACCAUGGGGUUAGUUGGCACUGCUGAAGCCAAGGCUAGCGAUGGUUCUUCCACAUCUUCACCUGCCACACGCACACACACACACACACAUAAUAAACUUAGCACCUUGAUCUGUGGUAUGAAAGAAUGCUCAUGAAUGCAUGUAAACUAAAGUUUGUACAUACACAACAGAGGAUUCAUUAGCAGCAUGCACAUAUGCUUACCUAGCUGCACAACUUGCUGCUCUAGAACGAUGAGCUCUGGAGGUGGCGGCGGCAGUGGUGAUGAUGGCGUGUUGGCAUUUAUCCAAAGCACACGAUAAGGACAUCAAUGGUGGCUGGAAUGCCCGAGGCCACUACCGUCUCAUCCACAGAGCUAGCGAUGACUUUUGUGCAUCUGCGCCAUGGAAGGGAAGGUGAAGGCGACCGCAUGGAUCUCAUUCUAAGCCCAUGGUAAGGAUGGUGGAUGCGGCUUGAUCUAUCGACACCGUCGUUGGAAGCCAUCUCUCAUUGGAUAGAAACCAGGGAGGUGCUAGGGGUGCUUGAAUGGGGAGUAGGUGAGUCCUUUGACCCGUGCUUUAACCGUCUACUUAUACUGUGCGCAUGUUGACAUGGGCCGUUUCCCUAAGACCGACACCAACAUAGGCCUUUGGUUUCUUUCAUUUUUAGGGUUUAUUUUUUUUGAGAAAAAAUAUUUUUGAAUUUAGUGUGAACCUUUCAACCUUAUCGAUCCAUAACAACCGCAUAGGAGAGUCAACUGUGUAAAGGUUAAAAAAAUCUCAUGAGUUUCACAUCCAAAUAUAGUGGAUUGACAAGGUUGAUCGAUUCACACUAAAUUAAAAAAAUCAUUUUUAUCACAACAAAUAAACCCUCAAAAUAAAGAAACCUAAGGCCCAUGUUGGCCUCUGUCUUAGGGAAACGCCCCAUAUCAACAUGCACACGGCAUAAGUAGAUGGGUAAAGCACGGGUCAAAGAACUCACCUACUCCGUGUUGAAGCAUACCUUGCUCCACCCUGGUUUCUACCCAAUGAGAGAUGGCCUCCAACGACGGUGUUGAUAGCUCCAGCCGUGGUUGCCGUCCUUGCCGUGCGCUUAGGAUGAGAGCCAUGUGGUCGCCAUCACCUUCACCACCACGGCGCAGACGCACGCAGGUCGUUUCUUGCUCGUGGAUGAGAUGACAGUGGCCUCGGGCAUUCCCACUACAGGAUCUAGCCGAUGUCACCAUCCCUACUGUACGCUCCAGAUAAAUGCCAGUGCGCCAUCAUCACCAACGUGUCAUCUCAACCACUUCUGGAGCCCAUCACGCCAGAGCAGCAAGUUGUGCAGCUAGGUAAUCAUACGUUGCACGCCCGCUAAUGACUCGUAUGUUGCGUACAUACAAAAUUUAGGUUACAUGCAUGCCUGAGCAUUAUUUUGUACCAUAGACCGAAGUGAUAAGUAUGUUACAUAUGCCUGUGUAGGUGAAGUUGUGGAAGCGUCGCCGCUAGCCUUCGAUCCAGCGGCGCCAGCUGACCCCGUGGUGCCAGAUCCAUUGUCUCUCGCGUCGGUAGUGGCUUUGAUGGUGCAAGCUGACCCUAUGGUGGUGGCAGCGCUGUCAGCGAACCAAGACGUGGUUUCAGGGUUUCUAGUACCUGUGGAGGCAUCCCUGUAGUUUACUACUGCCCUUUCUCCGUCGGCAACAUGACUUCAAGAUCGAUGCAAUAAAGUUAUUCGCCGGUGGCUAAAGAGAUGGGGAGGGUUCUUGGAAAUGUUACUUUGGGAAAUUUUGUUUCUUGUUGUGAGCGUCGUCUAGUGAUCGUGUUUCUUUUCUGUAUUUCAUCGUUGUUGUAGCAGUUGGGGGAGCUAAAUUGUUGCUUUUGAUUUACCUUGUUAUGUUGAAUGGCAGCGAUUUUCUAUGUAAGACUUUGGAAGCCAUUUUGAAUAUAUUUCUACCAAACUCAAUUCUACGCCAGUGAAGUGUAGUAUAGAUGCAUAGCGUGGCACAUGUUCCAACUGGUAGUGUGUGUAAUGAAAUCUGUUUUCAGUUUGUUGUUUGUUUCUUAAUUGAGAUACAUUAUAUCAUCGUGGCGCUAUGCUUGACCCUUGCAUGUGGUCUUUCUUUUAGUACGUAAAUGGUGUUUCUUUCUUAAUUUCGUAAUGCAAUAAAGCAGAAGGGCCAGGCUCAAUGAGCUAGGACGCAAGUAUAGACUGAUUGCAUUACAUAUACUUCGGUAAUCAUUAAUGCUUUUGGUUUAGGAAACCAAAUCAUCAAGUUACUCUAAUGUAAGUUCUUUGGCAAUCAAACAUGACAAGCAAUAAGAUAAAACAAGUGUUUGAAUUCCUUAAUGGUCUGCCAUAAAUUGUAUGCUUUGUGAAGAAAUAACUAAUUGCAUGCCACCUACUUACCACUAUAAUUGGGAACAAAUAAACAUCAAUGAAAACCAUGAGAUUUUUAGAUGAUUUAUAGGGUAAGGGUGAGCUAGCAACUCAUAAUGCACAUUCAAUGUUGAUGAAAUAAAACUGUACCAAUAUGAAAAGAGUGAGUUGCGGAGAUCCAACAAAUCUCAUCCAUUUAACCUCGUCUAUCCAACAAUCUUCGUCCGUCCACUUUUUAGCAUUACACAUGUUUAGCACCCCCUCCUUACUAAUAUCAUGCCUAAUAUCAACAUCAAUGUUGAUCAAGUGAUUAUGUCCUACCUAGUAUUCACAUGUAUUUUAUAUCUUACCAAUAUUAAUGUACAAUACAAUUAAUAUCUUGCCUAAUAUUAACGUGCAUUUCACAUACACAAUUACUAGUUUUAAAAACAAGUGAGAUUGGACCAUGAGUAAUAUGGACCUAGAGUACGUGGGCCUUCGAAUGGGCCAACAAAUAUGUACUACUUAAAAAGAACACAAGUAGUUUCCUCAAAAAAAAGAACACAAGUUUCGGUUUCACCCUCUCCUUCAUCAUAUAUAUAUGAUGCCGCCUUCCCUUCUCCCGUUUGAUUUUUUCCUCCCACCUCUGGCUUUUCUCCCAAAUAAUAAUAUUCUUUGGUA
rnacentral:lncRNA from 1 species